rnacentral:rRNA from 1 species
AUUGAACGCUGGCGGCAUGCCUAACACAUGCAAGUCGAACGGGGCAGCAAUGCCUAGUGGCGGACGGGUGAGGAAUACGUAGGAAUCUGCCCUUAAGUGGGGGAUAACCAGGGGAAACCCUGACUAAUACCGCAUGAUCUCUUCGGAGCAAAGAGGGGGACCGCAAGGCCUCUCGCUUCUGGAUGAGCCUACGUCUGAUUAGCUAGUUGGUAGGGUAAAGGCCUACCAAGGCGACGAUCAGUAACUGGUCUGAGAGGAUGAUCAGUCACACCGGAACUGGGACACGGUCCAGACUCCUACGGGAGGCAGCAGUGGGGAAUAUUGGACAAUGGGCGAAAGCCUGAUCCAGCCAUGCCGCGUGUGUGAAGAAGGUCUUCGGAUUGUAAAGCACUUUAAGUUGGGAGGAAGGGUAUUCACCUAAUACGUGGGUACUUUGACGUUACCAACAGAAUAAGCACCGGCUAACUACGUGCCAGCAGCCGCCGCGGUAA